AGGAGAGUUGAUGGACCGAGAGGUGAAGAUGGAGCAGGUACAGAUUGGAUUGAUUACGGCGGAAGGAUAAUAACUCACGAAGGGAGCUUGAAGUGGUUUCCUGGCCCUCGAAAUAAGCAGCAGAGGGGACGAGCGGUAUAGAAUACCGGUCUUGUGAACAUCAGAGGAUGUCAUGCGGCAGGGUUGCCAGUAACUCCCACGUACACGGGGCGAAGAGGAACAAGCGUGUACUUACA
rnacentral:ncRNA from 1 species